rnacentral:rRNA from 1 species
CCUACGGGUGGCAGCAGUGAGGAAUAUUGGUCAAUGGUCGGGAGACUGAACCAGCCAAGCCGCGUGAGGGAUGAAGGUACAGAGUAUCGUAAACCUCUUUUGUCAGGGAACAAAGGCGGGGACGUGUCCCCGGAUGAGUGUACCUGAAGAAAAAGCAUCGGCUAACUCGGUACCAGCAGCCGCGGUAAUACGGGGGAUGCGAGCGUUAUCGGGAUUUAUUGGGUUUAAAGGGUGCGCAGGCGGUCUGUUAAGUCAGCGGUAAAAGCCCGGGGCUCAACCCCGGCGCGCCGUUGAAACUGGCAGUCGCGAGUUGGAUAGAAGUAUGCGGAAUGCGAGGUGUAGCGGUGAAAUGCAUAGAUAUCGCGCAGAACUCCGAUUGCGAAGGCAGCAUGCCGGCUCCACACUGACGCUGAGGCACGAAAGCGUGGGUAUCGAACAGGAUUAGAUACCCGGGUAGUC